rnacentral:misc_RNA from 1 species
GCUUGCCUUCGUGCGUUAUCUCCUCAGUCACCGUGACUUGUUCUCGUACCUCCUCAGUUUCGGUAGGUCGUUCGGGUUUCGGCUCAGGAAUCAGAUCGGUAAUUUCUUCGAACUGUAUUUCCUCGACAGGUUUUUCAGUCACAGUCGUAACUGGAGCCUUGCCCUCUUCUUCAACCGUCUUUUCCUCGGUGACCUGUUGCUUCUUGCCCUUCCUGCGAACGAUGCGCUUCUCCACGAUCUUUUUGGGCUUGCCUUCGUGCGUUAUCUCCUCAGUCACCGUGACUUGUUCUCGUACCUCCUCAGUUUCGGUAGGUCGUUCGGGUUUCGGCUCAGGAAUC